UGUCUGUCUUUUGACUGAUACUGCUUUUUAAACUGGUCUGGUCAGUCUACUCAAAUAUUCAUACCGUACAUAUUUCUCUCUACAAGUAAUAUGAAAAUUUAAAAUAAAGAUACAUUAAUUUCUGAACAGAUAUGGUAGGUUUCAGGACACUAAUGUAUCUGAAUAUGUUUAAAAAAUUUACUGCCACUAUUUUCACCACCAAAGAAUAGAAGUGUGAUUUUAAUUGAUUUGACUCUUUGCAGGCUGUCAGGCUGUUUAGUCACAGAGGAAGGCUGUGCUUCUCUGGUCUCAGCUCUGAGGUCAAACCCCUCACACCUGAGAGAGCUGGACCUGAGCUACAAUCACCCAGGAGACUCAGGAGUCAGACUGCUCUCUGCUGGACUGGAGGAUCCACACUGCAGACUGGAGAAACUCAAUGUGGAACAUGGUGGAGAGAACACAAUGAAACCUGGGCUUAGAAAAUAUGUCUGUGAUCUCACACUGGACCUAAACACAGUAGACAGACGCCUCUCUCUGUCUGAGGAGAACAGAAAGGUGACAUGGAGUAGAGAGAAGCAGCCAUAUCCUGAUCAUCCAGAGAGAUUUGAGGACUGUAGCCAGGUGCUGUGUAGAGAGGGUCUGACUGGGCGCUGUUACUGGGAGGUAGAGUGGAGUGGGGGAGGGGCUGAUAUAGGAGUGACAUAUAAAGGAAUUAGCAGGAGAGGAGAGGUUAAUGACUGUUGUCUUGGAUACAAUGACAAGUCCUGGAGUCUAUUCUGCUUUGAC